UCCGGCCGCUUCUCCGUCGCCUCGAUCCUUUGGUUCAUCCUCUGAAUCUCUGACUCAAGAUCUCUCUGCUCAUCUUUCAACCGUUCGAUCUCCCUCACGAUCUCACCGUCCUCCAUCUCCUGGCCGUAUACCAUCCCACGCGCGUGUUUCCUACGCGCUAUGUUCUUGAGCAGGUGCUUCUGUCCUCUGAGAAAAUGCUCGUUCGCAAACUCCCACCGGUCUGGAUCCACUUUCCUAAACCCCUGAAAUGAAAAAAAAAACAUAGCAAAUCAAUAUUAACUCCGAGCAUAGUUGGCAAGAUUCGUUGAGAGAAGUCGAGAGGAUCAACGACGAUGAAGCUGUUGUGUGCAGGCCCCCAAGUGAUGAGCCAAUCGGUCGAAGGGUCGUUGACCAUCUGAUAUGUCUUCACAACAAAAGGUGCGAUCACGUUUGUGUUGGUGUUAUUAUUAUUGUCGUCCUCCAUUUCUUUUUCCUCUCCUCUCUUUUUCUUUUAUCGCUUUCUAUGUUUGCUGUUGGUAAAGAAAUUAAAGAGGAAGCUUGCGGGUUUAUAUAAACAAAAAAAUAGGAUGGAAAUAGUAUAGUUGACAGUGAGACAUGUGUGAUGUGGCUUACUUUUGUGAUAACGUGGCAAGCUCGUGUUUUGCU